UCUCUCACUCUCACAGUCUCGACUCUCGGUGAUUUGGGGAAAGAAACCCUAGCCGCCGGCCGCCGCUCCAGCUCUCUCUUCAGUCCUCCUCACACGUCCGCCCUCUGCCAAACGGUGAAAAUUUGUUCGUUUUAUCCACUCUCCAGAUCAAACGGUGGAAAUUUUCUCUCGAACAAGUGCGAGCAACAAAGUAGUUCCGAAUCAAUUUUCUCAGCCUUCGAUCGGCGUAGAAAGAGGUUUUGCAGACAAGAUGUUCGUCAGUGUUUGACUUGUUUGUAAAGACUCGGAUGUGUUGUUUGCGAGCAACAAAGACGAUGAAAAAGGCAAACCUGCUGCUAUGCUUCCCAAGCCUAGUAUGGAGGAGUUCCGAUGGAUGGUCUAUGCAGUUGCAAUCCAGGUAACUACAAGUUUUGUGGAUUGUUGAAUGCUAUUGGUUGCUCUUUAUCUGGUGUGUCGUAGACAAAACAAGAGAGAUUGAAUAUUCUGAGAAUGUAAGGGCUGUAAUGAGCUGAACUAUUAUUGAUGAUUAUUAGUACACAAAGCGCAUACAAAGUGUAAACUAAUCUAUACCAGAUUCUGUUGCUUUCA